AAGGCCGGGGCAGAAGAGGAAAAACAAGCUGGAUGUGGCAUGGUAAAGGUAGCUGAUGGGUUAGCUUGUGAGACCCUCUGGGGACUCUCAGAAUCACUGAACAAGCAAAGAGGAGGUGUCUUUCAUGAGCAGCACCAGUAACAUAUUCCUGCUUACUGCCAAGGGAACCCUACUUGUACCACCAGAAAGGCUGUAAAUACCUGGGGAAAUUGGAUCAUGGGAGACGGGAAGGAAGGAAUAAAAGUAAAUUUGUUGGAUGUUUAUGCACCUGGCAUGGUGUCAGGUCUGGAUUAGGAUAGCAGCUUCAGAGGUGGAGAGAAGUGAAUGGUCCCAGGGCUAGUCAGGAAGUUGAAGGGAGAAGACAGGAUCAAUGUGGGAGUGAUACGAUGGCCACCUCUUUCAGCCUGUGCAAUUGGUGUAGGACCCUUGCUCUCAGAUCCUGCUACUGAUACGAGGAAUGUAGCAGCGAGAGACACAAAAGCGAACCCUCUUCCUGUGGGAUUCCAGCCUAGGAGGGAAGACGGCGAACAAGAAGCGACAAGUGUGUUGCAUGCUACCGAGAGAUUCUGGCUGUUGACCACUUGGGAUGUUACUGUGCACUGGACACACACAAACUGAUGGAACUGAGGGGUUUUGUAUCUCCCUCAUAAAGUCAUGAAACUUUUUUUUUUUUUCUGAGACAAAGUCUUGCUGUGUCACCCAGGCUGGAGUGCAGUGGCAUAAUCUCGGCUCACUGCAACCUCUGCCUCUGGGGUUCAAGUGAUUCUCAUGCCUCAGCCACUUGAGUAGCUGGG
rnacentral:lncRNA from 1 species